rnacentral:rRNA from 1 species
CGGAAGGCAUAAUACAUGCAAGUCGAACGGGAUAGAACUUAGCAAUAGGUUCUUGAGAGUGGCGCGACGGGUGCGUAACACGUAUGCAACCUUACCUUUAACGUGGGGGAUAGCCUCUCGAAAGAGAGAUUAAUACCCCAUAGUAUAACUGAAGAGCUAUUUUUUUGGUUAUUAAAGAUUUAUCGGUUAAAGAUGGGCAUGCGGCUGAUUAGGUAGUUGGUGAGGUAAUGGCUCACCAAGCCAACGAUCAGUAGGGGGUCUGAGAGGAUGUCCCCCCACACUGGUACUGAGACACGGACCAGACUCCUACGGGAGGCAGCAGUGAGGAAUAUUGGUCAAUGGGUGCAAGCCUGAACCAGCCAUCCCGCGUGAAGGACGACUGCCCUAUGGGUUGUAAACUUCUUUUGUAUAGGGAUAAACCUACCCUCGUGAGGGUAGCUGAAGGUACUAUACGAAUAAGCACCGGCUAACUCCGUG